GCUGCAGAGACACAACUCAGCUGGUUGAAAGAGAAGUUCAUAGCUUUUCCCUGGAUGUUAUCAUUUCUGAGAGUCAUCAGUACUUCUCUUUGCUAAGACACUACAGUAGUAAUGUGAAGCAGAGAUGGAAAAAUCCAGAAGGUUUACACUUGUGAAUCUUGCUUAGAAACCAGUUAAUGUGGAUCAGUGUUUCAACUCAGGCUGUUCACUCAAGAAAUGUCUGAACCGGGUAAAGAGUCAAAAUGGAGCUCUGGAGUUGCUAGUGUGACAACUUCAAGUUCACAGUUGAGAGACACAAAGGACAAAGAGAAGAUGAGUGUCACUCUGCUGAUUUC